CCUACGGGGAGCAGCAGUCGAGAAUCAUUCACAAUGGGGGAAACCCUGAUGGUGCGACGCCGCGUGGGGGAAUGAAGUAUUUCGGUAUGUAAAGCUCUAUCAGCAGGGAAGAAGAUGACGGUACCUGACUAAGAAGCCCCGGCUAACUACGUGCCAGCAGCCGCGGUAAUACGUAGGGGGCAGGCGUUAUCCGGAUUUACUGGGUGUAAAGGGAGCGUAGACGGCGAUGCAAGCCAGAUGUGAAAGCCCGGGGCUCAACCCCGGGACUGCAUUUGGAACUGUGUGGCUGGAGUGUCGGAGAGGCAGGCGGAAUUCCUAGUGUAGCGGUGAAAUGCGUAGAUAUUAGGAGGAACACCAGUGGCGAAGGCGGCCUGCUGGACGAUGACUGACGUUGAGGCUCGAAAGCGUGGGGAGCAAACAGGAUUAGAUACCCCAGUAGUC
rnacentral:rRNA from 1 species